UACGGGGGGGGCAAGCGUUGUUCGGAAUUACUGGGCGUAAAGGGCUCGUAGGCGGCCACCUAAGUCAGACGUGAAAUCCCUCGGCUUAACCGGGGAACUGCGUCUGAUACUGGAUGGCUUGAGGUUGGGAGAGGGAUGCGGAAUUCCAGGUGUAGCGGUGAAAUGCGUAGAUAUCUGGAGGAACACCGGUGGCGAAGGCGGCAUCCUGGACCAAUUCUGACGCUGAGGAGCGAAAGCCAGGGGAGCAAACGGG
rnacentral:rRNA from 1 species